GUUUACAGCCAUACCACUCUGAGCGUGCUCGAUCCCGUCUGAUCUCGGAAGCUAAGCAAGGUCGGGCCUGGUUAGUACUUGGAUGGGAGACCAUCUAGGAAUACCAGGUGCUGUAGGCG
rfam:Pteropus alecto contig18148, whole genome shotgun sequence.